rnacentral:rRNA from 1 species
GUUAUAGGAUCAAGUGAAUAAGUGCAUAUGGCGGAUGCCUUGGCGAUUACAGGCGAUGAAGGACGCGAUAGUCUGCGAAAAUUCUCGGGGAGUUGGCAAAUAAACUUUGAUCCGGGAGUGUCCGAAUGGGGAAACCCACCCUUUUAGGGUAUCCAUCUCUGAAUACAUAGGAGAUGUGAAGCGAACCGAGUGAACUGAAACAUCUAAGUAACUCGAGGAAAAGAAAUCAACCGAGAUUCCGGAAGUAGUGGCGAGCGAAACCGGAACAGCCUGUUACUUUUAGCUUGCGCGUUAGUAAAAUGGAAUGGAAAGUCCAGCCGUAGAGGGUGAUAGCCCCGUAUACGAAAGCCCGCAAGUGGAACUAGGGUAACGACAAGUAGGACGGGACACGUGAAAUCUUGUCUGAACAUGGGGGGACCAUCCUCCA